GCGGCCGGGCGGGAGGGCUGGGCAUGGGGCGUUUCCGACCUUAAAGUGUCAGUGUUUCCCUGGGGCAAGAGGAGCCGAGAGCCGUAAGGGCAUGGGGCAUUAUCUUCUCUCUCUGUAAAAGCAGGACACAUGAAAUUUGGCAAGCACCGGAUGCAUCAGUCCCCUUAUACCUCAGCUGCCUUCCCCGGCCAUGUGUUCUUACAGGAGGCAGCCAAUGGACGGGGACAAGGGGAUAAGAGAGAGGGGAGAAAACUGCACUUGAGCAUCCAGGAAUUUGGCUUUUCAGAGCAUCCAGUGAAGUGAAUGCAAACCAAAGUAUGUGUUGCAGUGAACAUGUGCCUCUUGGCAGGGAUUUGUGGAGGGAAGGACUCACUCCUGGGAUGCAGCCCUGAGCUUUCCCACUUUACGAGCUCAUUUGUUUUGGCACUCUCAGAGCUGGUUUACAUGCCUCUGUAUCCAGCCGCCUCUCAGCUAGUAUUUUCCUUCAAAGAGCUACUGGGAACGAGGCCUAAAAAAACUUUGCAGAGAUGCCUUCAUUAGUUCUGCUGAAAAGGACACUGAAGCAGAGUGGUGUGAGAGAUGCCUUUCCCCAAAGCAGCGUGGUAGAACCACGGCUGACAUCUGGGUGCUGCAGCUCUGUCAGAGACAACCAGCCCUCCCAAACCAGCCCUCUGUGAUUUUCAGAAUUAUCAGCCUUUUCAAACAGCAGAUAAUAAGAGAAGCAAACAAAGCCAGCAUCAAGAGGACUAGGUAUACUUACAGAAAGAAGGUGACGGGGCUUGCUGGAUCAGCUGUGACGGUGACUGUUGUAUUUCACACACAGACAGCGCUUUCCAAGAGAGGUGCUAAAACUGAUGGUGGGUAAUGAAUUCUCACAGACAUUUAUUCACAACUACUCAUGUAAAGGUUUCAUCUGCUCUUCUAGCACAGCCUUCCUGGGAGAGGAACAUAAUGGAUGAAGAGAAACUGCAAAGGGUGCAAGAAGAUAAUGGAGGGUAGAAGAGAGCAGAAAAAAUCCAGAUCAAAUGAGCAGGUAAUCAGGAUUACCAAGAGAAUUCACUGUGUUUCUGAAGAGCAAUGCACCAUCACCUUUCAGAUGGAUGCCAUCCUAGGUGCUGUUCUGUACUUAAAAGAGGAAAUGUUUCACCUCUCAAAUCAGUAACAUGUCUUGACUAGAAAAGUCUCCUUUUAAUGAUCAGCCUGUUCAAGAGAGAGCAAGGCCUAAUCCUGAUUCACUGGACAGGGUCUUACAUUGCCUGGUGUGGCUGGAGCUGUAGGAAGAGAGGGUUGAUGUAGGUGGCAGGAGGAAGCAUCAAUCUUGUUCCUUUGGAGCAGAAAUCCUGUCAGGAUGGGGAGCACAGGGUGACUUGAAAGGGCUGAGCACAAGCAUCCUUUUGGCUUUUUGGUGAGAAACAGCUGAGUGCCCAGGACAGCAAGUAUUUAAUGGACGGAUAGUCUAGUGUUCAGCAAGGCAAAUACAUCCUUGCUCUGAUGUUGUUGGUUUUAGGGAACAUAUAAAACAGUAAGAAGGCAAAAUGAAUGUGAAAAAGAUGAGCACAGGGAAGCAUUGAAGAAAUAAGACCUAUUGGCCUGAAUAAAUAAAAGCCUGACAAGGUUGGCUCUUGGGCUUCCCAGGGGAUGGAGAGGAGGAGGAGACAGAGUCCACUGGGGGCUGGGGGGAGGGAAUGUCCCCACUGGUGUGUCAUGCUGCUGUGAGGCAUGGGGCUGGAACCCUGCUGGGUGGGUGCCCCUGGCAGGGCAGGGUCUGGCCCCAGACCUCCAUAGUGGUGGCAAAUGGCAGGAACAUUUCCCCAUCUCCUCUCCCAGUGGCGAGUGCCUUGAGUCAUCACAGGAGGGGAGCUGCUGUCUGCAUCCCAAACCAUGGACCCAAGCCCAAGGACUGACAGUGUCAGGAGCUCACCAUCAGAAAAACAUUGUCCCUGCGUGGAGGGAGCAGAGCAGCUCACACAGCUGACAGAAAACCUCCAGGAAGCCAGAGCAGGGAUAUUGAGAACAGGUUAUGACAGAUGAUACCAGACUGCUCAGCUCCACAUCCAAAACAAGGCUGUGGGCAGAUCUGUGUUCCUUCAGACCUGAGCACGUGGACAGCUGCAGGGAGUUGGGUGAGUGCUGGCCUGGCACUGCCCACAGCACGUGGGCGGGAGUGGGACUGUGUCCUCCUGCCUCUGUGGCAUCCCUGGCUGGUGCCUCUUGCCCUCAGCGGGGGGCUAAAAAGGAUCUCAAGAGUCUCAUUUGCAAACCUUCAACAAAGAUCACGCUGACGUGCAAAUAGGACAACGGCAAAACAAUACGUGACAGCCAGCUUGCUCCUCUUCUUUGGAAAACUCAGAUGUUUUCUUGUCACAAAGCUGCUCAUUCUUCCUCUUAACAUAAACAUUGUAAUGAGAACAAAAUGGUUUUCUUUGACAAAAUGCUGUGUGUUGGUGGUUAAGAAAAUUAAUAUUUUGUAAUGUAAAUGAAGGAGAAAGUGAGCAAGCAUCCCCUCUCUGGGUGUGUGAGCCCAGAGACAAGGGAUGUUUUGUGAUGCUCAAACUUGUGCCUUAACACAGCUUCACAAAAGGCAGAUAAACAUUCUGCACUUCUCUGUCCUGUUACUGCUGAGUAACCUGGUCUAGUGGAAGGUAUCCCUGCCCAUGCCAGGGGAUGGAAUGAGAUGAUCUUUAAGGUCCCUUCCAACCCAAGCCAUUCUGGGAACCUGUGAUUCUGUGAAUCAUUAACCCCAAAUAAACUGCAGUAAUAUUAUGUUAUUGCUCAUGUCAACAGCCUGACUGAUUUUAGUGGGACUGUCAGGAUGGUCAAAGGUUGUCAGUGUCAGUUUUAGCUUCAGAGUAGGAACUGUGGAUGUUGGAGUUAAAAGCAAAUUAUUGCCAGUAUCUCCAGCCAGCUGAUGUUCAGAUUGACAGUAUUUAUUUAUUUUUUUUUUAAAUUUCAAACUUUACUAUUAUUUUUAACCACAGGAAGCCUCAAGGAAUUUAACUGGACAAAAAAUCAAAUGUUUUUCUGCACUGAUAAAAGCAUGGAAAGAAAUGGCAAUGGGUUACCAAGAACCAAGACUGCUUUUUAUAAGGCAUCACUGUCAUUCACAGAUAACUUGUGUUUUUUCUGGGUACAGGUACCAAAAUCUAGAGAUUAAUCUCACACUCAGUGUGCUUUCCAAGAAUCCAGAGUGGCCUUUAGAGCCCUGAUCCGUGCUUGGGCACCACAACUCCAUCCUCCACUGAGCACCUGGUUGGCUUUGGCUCUCCUUGGGCUCAGACACAUCCCUGGUGACAGCGAAGGGUCCCCUCACCAGCACCACCAACACAGCCCCUUCUGGGGUUGGACAAACCAUGGGGUGGAGUAGGGACCAGGGCAGGAUCAUCAUCACCACCUGGCCCAUUUUCAAGGAAGUGGCAUUUCACCAAAAUGUGAUGUUCAAAGUGAAAAUACUUCACUGGGACUUGCUUCUUCCCAGAACAUUUCACACAGGGAAUGUUUGGUCUGAAGCACUCUCUUUAGAGAGAGACGGGAAUACCCAAGUGAAAAAAAACAACUGAGUUUUCAAGGGUGUUUGUUGUUGUUUUAUUUUGGGGGGGUGGGGAGGGGUUGUUUGGGGUUUUUUGUUUGUGUUUGGAGGGAUUUGUGUUUGGGUUUUUUUAAGUGAAAUUUCAUUUUGAUGGAAAUGUAAAAGUUUCUGUAGCUUCUCAGAAAAGGCAAAUCUUAAUAUUAGUGGUCUCCAAGAAACAGAAUGGAACUGUUUGGUAAACGUGAGGAGACAAAAUUAAAUUGGAAUUAUUGUCCUCUCCUGCUGGAGAUUUUAUCUUUUAAAUUGGAAAAGUGCUUAUACCGUAGACCCUGAAAGCAAUAAGGAGUCUCCUGUUGAGAUAAAUGGGAAUUAUAUUUUUUGGCAUCAGUUCCUGAGUUGCCCAAUGAGUUUCAUUGCAUUUUACAGUAAAGACUGUUCUUCAGCACAAGCCCUUCCUGUUCCAGACCUUGGAGUUGGGAAUGUGCAGAUUAAGGCAUUAUUUUGACUACAAUCUAAAGACCUUGCAAAAAAGUUGAAAAAAUUCCAAGGUGCUGCCAUUGGUUUUGCUGUGGACAAGAUUAAUGUUCGUUGGAUUUGCUGUAUCCUUUUAACUGCUGCUUUCCUCCUCCUUCCAGUAAAUAAAUCUGCCUAUUAGUUAAACAAACUGACUAUGAUAGAAACCAAACACAAGAAAUAUAUUAACAAUAAUCCCCUGUUCUUAAAAUAGAAAGGCAAUAGUGAAGAGAGCCCUUGGGUUCCGCUCGCUGCUGGGCACUGCUUGCUCCAGUGCUCCUGAUUUGAACUCCUGGAGGAGAGAAACACAGGCUGCAGCAAAACCCCAAACUCGAAGAAGUUCCUACAGGAGCCUGUUGUUAAACCACGUAAUCCCAUCGUGCUGCCAUUACAGAGGCAGGACAGUCCCACCUCCUGGACAGUUCACAGGCCCACCCAAUGAGAGACACAGCAGGAGAAGAGGAGAAUGAGGCGAUUUGGCGGGUGAUCCUGAGCUUGUUCACCUCUCAACGUGGUUCUUCCCCUUUCUCUGUGCCUUGGUGGGUUGUGUGAGGUGGCAGCUCUUCAGAGAGCAGCUGGCACUGCCGCCUGGCCAUGAGGGCUGGCAUAGAAUUAAUCAUGGAAUCGCAGACUGGUUUGGGUUGGAAGGGAGCUUAAAGCUCAUCUCGUUAUACCCCCUACACUUUCCACUAGACCGGGUUGCUCCAAGCCCUGUUCAACUUGGCCUUCAACACUGUUGCUGGUACAUGUUCCACCAUCGCCAUCUUUUCUUAAGAAAGAUGAAGGGUCCUUUUAAAAGUGCAGAUUAUUUGUUGCCUGGAAACAACCAGGAAAACCUGGCAUGCAGUUUUUGAAACAGGCGUCUGCUUAGCAGCAAUGAGCUGCUCCCGUGUGACGUUUGACCCUUCAUGGGGGCUUUGUCCUGUGCCAAGGAGGAUGUGCUAGCAGGGACCUUGCUGCUGCCUGCAGAGCAAAUUAGGCAGCAGCCAGACAUCCCUUUACACGCUCAAUUUCCAACCAGCAGAAGUGAAUUCUGGGAAGCCUUUGGGAACCCUUCCUGCCCGCCCUGCACUGGACCAGGCUGCCUGUCUGGGCACUGCAAUGCCAGGCCUGUCCCUGCCUCCCUAAAACCUACUGAUGACUCCAUUGGGAUUGCGGUAACAGAUGUUUCCCUCUGAUUUUUACUGCAUGCUUAGGACUCUAGGAUUUUCCUCUGGAACAUCCAGAGGACAUUUCCUUAACCUCGCUGCAUGCUGUGGCUGGUGCCGCAGCCGAGGUGCUCCCUCCAUCACUCUCCCCUCUGGGAUGCAGUGAGCUCUCUGCAGUCCGUGACUCAGCAGCCUCCCUUCAACUGUUUGGGCAGAGCGAUCCAUUAAUAUUCAGCCAUAUGUGGAAAAAACUCUGAAACCCACAAGGACCCAGGGAUGCCUCAUCUCAUUCCUUCCCCAAUAUUUAAAUUGGAGUUUGAAGUUCAGACCUUGACCUCCCCUUUCCUUGCUAGGAGCUCAUUUCUCAGUCGGAAGGCCAGUACCUUGCUCUGCGUACUCUGGGGCGUGUGGGGAGUGCGGGGACCGAUCUCCCAGAGCUGGUUAUGGCCUUUUUUGGAAGCGCCAGGACGGGCUCAGUGCGGCGCCGCAGCUUGGGCGCUGCAACGUGAGGCAGGGCUCCUCCGGUCCACAUUCCUUGCUAAUUUUAACCAGCUCCCUCGAGCAGGGCCCGGAGAAGUAUGGUCUUGAUUUAUUAGUCUUCUUCUUCUGAAAACUUCGUUCAAGUUUCUUGGGACAGAGGUAAAACCAGACUGGGAUUCUCAGUUUGGAUCCUGACAGAUGUUUUUCUGCACCACUGACUGUUGCGAGGUUUCCUCAGCAUCAGUAGUUUUUUCCCUGAGGUGUCUGGGGAGCAGGAUCGCCAGAGGAGCUGUGUGGGGAGGGUGUGGUGGCAUGACCAGAUGCUGGGUCUGGCCAAGGCUGAUGACAUCCUGCAGACCUCAUUGUCCCAGCAGUGGUUGGGCAGGCCAAGACUCAGGGUCCCUGUGCCCAGUGGUGGUGCUGACCAUCUUCAGGUCCCAUUGACCCAGCCUUGGCUGGCAGUGGACUCGCUCAGGGUCCCCAUUCCCACUGACAGUGCUGGCUGCCUUCCCGUGGAGCCCUCCCUGGGCAGCACACGCUCCUCUGCCAUCAGCACCCCCAGGAGCAAAUCACCAGGGGCCACUCCAGCAGUGGACCAUGUUCUCCCAAACCUGGCAGCUGGACACAGAAAGGGAACUGCUCAUCAUCAGGCAGGGUUGACCUCCCCUGGGCUGGACGUUGACUGGGCAUGGCAGGGCUGGGAAGCAGAGCUCAAAGUCCCGAUGACAGGAUGGGAAUGACCAGAAGCCACAGCCUAGAUAGUAAAAUGUGUUGCUGAGGCUGUGGAAGAGCUGACCACAGGAGACACAGCCGGCCUUGAGAACUUGCACAGACAUUGGAAAGAGGCAGGGGAUGGGUAACUCCCUGUAGCAAACAGAACAAACCUAGUGUGCUUAACUUGGGGCAAGAAAAGUUUGGUUUAGGCACAAGGAAACUCGUUAGUGGUAAGUUCAGCUGAUGGCAGAACCAACUUUCCAGAGACUCUGUAGUGUCUAUAUUGUUGGAGAUUCCCAAGUGCACAUUCAACAAGCACGUGCCAGGGAAAACAGACAGAGCUGGUCCUGGCCUGGAGGGGAAGCACAGUCUGGAACAUCCCCCCCAUGCUACACUGUCAUCUUCCCCGUGACACAGUCAUUGUUCAAGCAGCUGGAGCCCCUCAGAGCCCCCAGUGCCACACAGGGUUAUCCCAAUGCCGGCAGAGAUGGGGAUCCUGAAGAGCAAGAAGCUCCUCUACCUUGCUGGCUAUUGUAGCACUUUCUUGGUAGCUCAGUGUAAAACCGGAGUGUGUCAGUCUCAGUCUGCAUCAGUAACCAAAUCAGCGUGAAAUCCACAACCUGGGUAUUUGCGUAGAAAACAUCCCGAAGGGAAUCAUUAAAUGGUUUUUUCCAGCCAGUUUCCUUGUGUCCUAUUUCAAUUCUGUGUGUGCAUGGACUCACAUCCGUCGCCAAAAUGGGGCCGUGCUCCUGGAGAACAGACAGGAAAGCACUAGUUAGGCUUUUUCUUGCCUUGUUAUUACAGUGGAAAAGACAGCCUGUGCCUCUGCUUGGCCACCCUGACUUGUGCCCCAUCCCAUGGGGAAGGUGCCCAGGGCUCUGUGGCACUCGAUGCCAGUGAGUCCAGCUCAGUGCUGCAGCCAAAGCAACAAUCACCAAAAAUCCAAAGGCUGUAGCUUGGACUGAAACAGUUCUGGCCUCAUUACUCGUACAGAACUGAUGAUUUCUCUAAGGUGUUUUGUGCUUAAGGCUGAAGAAUUAAGCAAUGCCUACGGUUUAAGGGGAGUUUGUUUGUUUGUUUGAGAUUUUCUUGUCCAGCUGCCAAAUGGUUUUGGCUUAGCCUUCAAACAAAGUAACUCUGCUAUGACCAACCAAUUUAAAUAAACCCUGGUUGAAAUCUGAGGCAUGAAGCAGUGAGGAGAGUGGGACUGGAAAUGCUCCAGCUAUUCUUUGCUGGGGUGGUGGUGUCCCGAGUCCUGCCUGGAGCACAGCCCAGUGUGAGGAGGGAUGAGGGUGAGAGAUGGAGCAGUGAGUGUCACUGGACCAGCGCUGGGAUCAGCAGCCGCUGCUGUCCUUUUCUUGUUGGCAGAUGACUUGAUUCCUGCUGGUCACCUGCAGUGUGCUACAGCUGGGCUCUGUUGUGGGGCCCUCCAAAGUUCUUCUUGGCUUAGGGUCCUCCUGCCAGGGCAGUCACUGCUAUGUGUUCCACGGCAGUGCUGGGGUGAGAUAGGGUUUCUCUCAGCUCACCUGGGCUUGUUCCUCACCCAUGUAAUAACCCCCUGGUCUGCCUUAUUGUCAGCUAUAAUUGAAGCAUGGAAGCUGAAGAACAGAAAUUAAUAGAAAAGGAAAACCCCAAUUAGCCCUCGCUGCUAUUGGCAAUAUUGCAGCUGAUUCCUCAGGAGCUUGAAUUUUGAAACACACAAUUAAGAGUUUGAGCAGGGGUCUAAAAUACAGCAGCACGCCAGCAGCUGGCGCUGGCAAAAGCCCCACUGUAGCCUCCCAGGACACUGCAUGACAGCAGUUUUCCCAUCCCCUCGCUUUGUCUCUCUCUCUCCAUUCUUUUCCCACAUUGAACUUGAGUGCUGCUCGUUCUGCUGAUGCUCUCCACAGCUCUCACACUGCCUGUCAGGACCCAUCCCUCACCAGGAUACAGCACACGAUGUCAGUCCCUGGCACCUUCUGUGUUUUGUGUUGGUUUUUUCACUUUCCACCAGGGCUCUCUACAGGAACACCUUUACUCCAGCUCCAGUUCCCCAUUCCCUCUGUUAGGCUGUACAGUCGUGGUUAAUGUCCAACCCCACUGAGUUUAUGAGCCCUGUGGGCUCCCAGGCAACUCUCCAUGCAGGAAACAAGCUCCUGUCACCACUCCAUGAAAAAUGUCUUUUAAUUCUUAAAGUACCCUCAACUCCAACUCAAGUUAGUGCACUUUUCCAACCAUGCUUAAUACUUUUUAAAAGUAAUUUCGGUUUUCUUAAAGAAUUUUCGCUGUCAUUAAUGCUUUACAUCGGAAUAAGAUUUAUGGAAAAGGCUGGCUGAGACACCCCCAGGGCUGCACCCCCUCACAGACAGGAGCCCCUGACAGCCCCAGUGCCUGGUCACUGGAGCCCAGAAUGACCCCAAGCAGCCUCUCAACAGAGAGUUAUCCCACAAAUCACACCAUAUAUGUCUUUACAUAAUUUGCUUUUAUCUCGUGGCUCCUCAAAACAGCAGAAAAAGUACUAUCUGGAUAACAGCAGGAGAAGAGGAAAACGGAUUUAAGGAGACAAGAAGUUUAGCCUGAUGUUGUUCUCAUCAGCCCAUUAAACUGCUCUUGCAGAUCUCAGCCGCAUUAGCCUCUGGGACUAUAAAUUGAAAUUCCUAAUCUUUCUUGAUUUGCUACAGCUCUAACGCUUUAAUCCACCUUGUUUUCUCCUUAGAUACUUCUCUCCUGAUCCCAUUGUUGCCUGAUUAAAAGUAGUGGAAAAUAAUCUAACAGCCAGCAAAGAAGGAAAAAGAAUGUCCUAGUGAGAGGUGAUUUCAGAAAAUGGGAUUACAUCUGAAAAAGAGUUCACACAUUUAACUGAAAUGACAGUCCUGUGAGUUACAGCAGCAGAGAAUGGAUUUACUUUUCUCAGUAUAAAUUGAUUCUGUUUCUCCCCAACAUGAGUCAUCAUUUCCCAUUAUUAUGAAGAUGCAACAAGGCAACUUUGAAAUAUAAUGCACUGUAUAUCCAAAUCUUCACUUUGAGGACUUAGAUACUGCUGUCAAUAUAGCUAACUUAGUGCAAACACUUGAAAGUACCAUUUUAAAAAAAAUAAUAGUGAAAAUA